GUAAAAACUGUCGGGGGGACCUCCUAAACAGGAAACAAAUGGGGGUUAAUGCAAUUGUGGCUACAGUAGCAGGCUACAUCAUACAAAGGUUGUGUUUGUGAUGCAUGAGAAAAAAAUAAU
rnacentral:lncRNA from 1 species